rnacentral:lncRNA from 1 species
AUCCUAGAAUGUUACACAGGUAUCUCACUUAGGCACAUGAGCCAAUGGCCAUGUUCCUGUUGAGACAGAAGAACACAGAAAAGCAAGAAUUAAGAGUAAAAUAAGGAGUUAUAGUUUGGAUCCUGAAAGUUAUCGCCUCCAGCACUAAAGGUCAGAGAGGUGAAGAAAAAGGGAGGCAGAAAAGAUCAUACUGAAUCCAAAAGGAAACAGGAACAGAGCUCCCAGAGCUGAUUCUACCCCCAAAGAGAUGGAGUUUCACCGUGUUGCCCAGGCUGGCCUCAAAC